rnacentral:rRNA from 1 species
UCUACGGGAGGCAGCAGUAGGGAAUAUUGGACAAUGGGGGCAACCCUGAUCCAGCAAUGCCGCGUGAGUGAUGAAGGCCUUAGGGUUGUAAAGCUCUUUUACCCGAGAUGAUAAUGACAGUAUCGGGAGAAUAAGCUCCGGCUAACUCCGUGCCAGCAGCCGCGGUAAUA